rnacentral:siRNA from 1 species
UUAAAUUGUGGUCAUUUUAAACAU